rfam:Anolis carolinensis chromosome 6, whole genome shotgun sequence.
GUGGGUUAUGGUGACAUGUACCCAGAGACCAUGGGUGGCAAAAUUGUGGGUUCUUUGUGUGCUAUUGCUGGAGUACUCACUAUCUCCCUACCAGUGCCUGUCAUUGUUUCCAAC